AAAGAUUUGCCAUGCAUGUCUAAGUAUAAGCAAUUAUACCGCGAAACUGCGAAUGGCUCAUUAAAUCAGUUAUCGUCUAUUUGAUAGUACCUUACUACUUGGAUAACCGUGGUAAUUCUAGAGCUAAUACAUGCUGAAAACCCCGACUUCGGAAGGGAUGUAUUUAUUAGAUUAAAAGCCAAUGCCCUUCGGGGCUCCCUGGUGAUUCAUAAUAACUGCUCGAAUCGCACGGCCUUGCGCCGGCGAUGGUUCAUUCAAAUUUCUGCCCUAUCAACUUUCGACGGCUGGGUCUUGGCCAGCCGUGGUGACAACGGGUAACGGAGGGUUAGGGCUCGACCCCGGAGAAGGAGCCUGAGAAACGGCUACUACAUCCAAGGAAGGCAGCAGGCGCGCAAAUUACCCAAUCCCGACUCGGGGAGGUAGUGACAAUAAAUACUGAUACAGGGCUCUUUUGGGUCUUGUAAUUGGAAUGAGUACAAUUUAAUUCCCUUAACGAGGAACAAUUGGAGGGCAAGUCUGGUGCCAGCAGCCGCGGUAAUUCAGCUCCAAUAGCGUAUAUUAAAGUUGUUGCAGUUAAAAAGCUCGUAGUUAAACCUUGCGGCCUGGCUGGCCGGUCCGCCUCACCGCGUGCACUGGUCCGGCCGGGCCUUUCCCUCUGGGGAGCCGCAUGCCCUUCACUGGGCGUGUCGGGGAACCAGGACUUUUACUUUGAAAAAAUUAGAGUGUUCAAAGCAGGCUUAUGCUCGAAUACAUUAGCAUGGAAUAAUAGAAUAGGACGCGUGGUUCUAUUUUGUUGGUUUCUAGGACCGCCGUAAUGAUUAAUAGGGACAGUCGGGGGCAUCAGUAUUCAGUUGCGAGAGGUGAAAUUCUUGGACCAACUGAAGACUAACUACUGCGAAAGCAUUUGCCAAGGAUGUUUUCAUUAAUCAGGAACGAAAGUUAGGGGAUCGAAGACGAUCAGAUACCGUCGUAGUCUUAACCAUAAACUAUGCCGACUAGGGAUCGGGCGGUGUUAUCUUUUGACCCGCUCGGCACCUUGCACGAAAGUACAAGUUUCUGGGUUCUGGGGGGAGUAUGGUCGCAAGGCUGAAACUUAAAGAAAUUGACGGAAGGGCACCACCAGGGGUGGAGCCUGCGGCUUAAUUUGACUCAACACGGGGAAACUCACCAGGUCCAGACACGAUGAGGAUUGACAGAUUGAGAGCUCUUUCUUGAUUUUGUGGGUGGUGGUGCAUGGCCGUUUUUAGUUGGUGGAGUGAUUUGUCUGCCUAAUCGCGAUAACGAACGAGACCUUAACCUGCUAAAUAGCCCGCGCUGCCCCGGCAGCGCGCCGGCUUCUUAGAGGGACUAUCGGCUCAGCCGA
rnacentral:rRNA from 2 species